rnacentral:rRNA from 1 species
UUAGGCCUACGGGGCGCAGCAGUGGGGAAUAUUGCACAAUGGGGGAAGCCCUGAUGCAGCAACGCCGCGUGGGUGAAGGAGCGUUUCGGCUCGUAAAGCCCUGUCAGCGGGGAAGAAGAAAGACGGUACCCGACCAAGAAGCCCCGGCUAACUACGUGCCAGCAGCCGCGGUAAUACGUAGGGGGCGAGCGUUAUCCGGAAUUACUGGGUGUAAAGGGAGCGGAGACGGCGAGGUAAGCCUGAAGUGGAAGCCCGCCGCCCAACCGCGGCA